rnacentral:lncRNA from 1 species
GCAAUGUUUAGAAUCAUUGUUAAUGAUUGCAACCAAGUUUAAAAAAUAAAAUAAAAAUUGUUUUGUUCACAAAUUUACCAAAUAGCAAGUGAUCAAAAGAAUGUCUUAGUUCAUAGAUUUACUAAAUGUUGCAUCAUAAGGUUAGGUUCGUUUAAAUUAAGAAAUAAUUGCUUAAAAAGAAUUGAAAGUGAAGUCUUAUGUAAUUGAUUGGCUAGUGUGAACUAGAGGACAUUUUGAUCAAAUGGGGGAAGUGAUGUAAGACAAUGACUUUAGAUAUCUUUUUUUUCUUUUUUGCUUUCUAAAAAAGUUAAGUGAUUUCACUAAUAUCUUGUUUUUGUAAAGAAGAAAUAUCUUUCUUCAUGUUUACUGGUCCAACUUUGCUUUGAGGGUCUCUCCAAUUAGUGCCAAAAUGGUCACUAACUUAUAGAAAGGGGGUGUCUUUCUUGUAUUGUCAUGAUUGUCCUUUUUUGCAAUGCAAAGGCAAAGAAUCAUUCUCAUGAUGAUACCCUUUUACUAAUUAUAUUCAGAGGUUUUCUUCCUCUCUUGUUUAGGAAGAUUGAAACUGCUUAAUUCAAAAAAAAAAAAAUAAUAAAUAAAUAAAGUUUCCAAACUCAAUAUUUUUUCAUAAAGUUUUGUUGGUGAUACUUGUUCUGGCAGAAGAUGUAUCUUAAAUUCCUGUAAGCUUGCAUACAACAAAUCUGCAAACCCAUGUUGGGAUGCUAAAUGGGACUUUCUUUGGUCAAGCCAGGGAAAAAUAGAGGCCACUUGAUUAUAUCAUUGGGUAAGGAAUAUAUAUACAUAUAUAUUUCUUUUUGGGUCCAAUAGCUAAGAAUAUUUUCAAGUUGCUUAAAUAUAUGUGACCUUAAGGGGAGAACUCUUGGUGGAGUGACGUGGCAAGAUGUGGUUCAUCAAAGAUUUAGUGCAGCUAUGAUAGAGCUACUCAUAGAACACCACAAUAUCAUUAUGCCAGAGCUACUCAUCAAAGGUUAACAUUGCUUUACCUGAAACGAACUUUCCUUCCCAACUUCACCAAAAAGCAAGGCAAAAGAAAGGGUCACAGCUUCUUCAUCAAAGUCACGAAAGAAAGUAAAAGAAAAAAAGACAAGAACUGUAAAAGCAAUAAUCUUUUUUGCACUAAAAGGGAGAACCCUUAGCAUGGGAAUGCUGGUGGAG